rnacentral:rRNA from 1 species
AUAACACAUGCAAGUCGAACGGGGUGGCCUUCGGGGCCGCUUACGUGGCGGACGGGUGAGGAACACGUGGGCAACCUGCCCAAUGGUGGGGGAUAACCGCUGGAAACAGUGGGUAAUACCGCAUGAGCUCUUGGACCGAGUGGGGUCUGGGAGGAAAGCCUUCGGGCGCCGAUGGAGGGGCCUGCGUCCGAUUAGCUAGACGGUGGGGUAACGGCCUACCGUGGCGAUGAUCGGUAGCUGGUUUGAGAGGAUGAUCAGCCACACGGGGACUGAGACACGGCCCCGACUCCUACGGGAGGCAGCAGCAAGGAAUUUUCCGCAAUGGGCGCAAGCCUGACGGAGCAACGCCGCGUGUGGGAUGACGCUUUUCGGAGUGUAAACCACUGUUCAUGGGGACGAAGCACUGACGGUACCCAUGGAGGAAGGCCCGGCUAACUACGUGCCAGCAGCCGCGGUAAUACGUAGGGGUCGAGCGUUGUCCGGAGUUACUGGGCGUAAAGCGCAUGCAGGCGGCUCAUUACGCAUGGCGUGAAAGCCCCCGGCUCAACCGGGGAGGGUCGUCGUGAACGGGUGAGCUUGAGGGUAUCAGGGGCUGGUGGAAUUCCCGGUGUAGUGGUGAAAUGCGUAGAGAUCGGGAGGAACACCUGUGGCGAAGGCGGCCAGCUGGGAUACACCUGACGCUGAGAUGCGAAGGCGUGGGGAGCGAACGGGAUUAGAUACCCCGGUAGUCCACGCAGUAAACGAUGCAGACUAGGCGUGGGAGGACUUGACCCC